UCAGUCUGUCUCUCAGACUCUGUGUCCACGCUCUUUGGCCCACCUCAUUUCUCUGUAUCUUUCUCUCUACAGUCAUUUUCAGAGGACCUUGUAUUCAUCAUACCCACUCAGGCAUGCAUUCUCUAACACAAAUUUUGUAUCCAUCAGAAAGGGAAACUCACUUGCCCAAGGCCACUUGCUGGGGCUGCAGCAGAGAACAAAACAGUCACCCGAUUGCUCCCUGACUCCCUGCUAUCCCUGUGGAGCUGACAUCAAAAGGAGGGAGACUGGAGACAGACGGACAAACACCAACCCUCUGACUCUGGACUCCUCUGAGCUCAGAUCCCUUCCAGAAAGUAGAGUGGAAUCUACAAAAAACCUGCUCAGUCCUUCCUAAGCACAUGGUCUCCAGAGUUCCACAGGAUCUGUUGCCCAAUUCUGGCCCCCAUGGGUCCCACGCACAUCGAGGCACAGUCAUAUAGGCAGGUGAAACACUCAGAUAAUAAAUUAAAAAUGACAACUCAAGAAAAGAAAGAAAGAAAACUGAAGAAGGGAACUCAAGUGAGCUGCAGCCAAGAGAGAAGAAACUGAGAUGGAGACAAGUCCAAGUCUGGCCUGCAGCCAUGGAAACUUGGGGUCAACUAUGAGCAGUUCCUGGAGCUAAAUGAGCACUUCCUGAAAGAACGCCGCCCUAAGGAGGAGGCUCUGGAGGCCUUGGCUGACAAACUCAAACUGACAAAAGGACGAGUUAUACUUUGGUUCUCCCAGAAAAAGGACUGACAUAAUGGUCAAGCAGAUGUCUAAGCCUCAAGCCCACAAGCCUUGGGGAAGAUACAGGUACCACUGGACACCAAGAGAGACCACCAGGCAGAACCCCAAGAAAGAAAGAAAAACAGAAACAGUUAUGUCCAGGCUCAGUUUGAUGAGGCAAUGAGUUUAUUAGGACUUAAUAAAUAAUUCUUAAUAAAA
rnacentral:sRNA from 1 species